CUCGCUCUCCUACACUCAACCACAACCCAAAGAGAAAAAGAGAUCUACUCGAUGAGUACCUUGCCGAGGUGAUGGCCGGAGAGAAGCGUCCUGUCGAAAGCGACGCCUAGGGUGGGCAGUUCCGAGGGCCCCCGCGCCUCCCCGGUGUUCUUCAUCGUCAGGGAACCGCCUCCAUGGUCAUUCCCGUUGGUUCCCCCUGGCCUCAUUCAGGGGAAGAGGUUGUCCGGGUACCCCCUGGCAUGGCCUUGUGGUGUCGUCCAGUCAUCCCUCGACUGCGCCGGGAUCCUCCCGGACCACCAGGCCCGGCGCCCUCCCAGCUGCACCUCAGGGCAUGGGAGGAGAGAUAGUGCCCGCCCGCGUAGGGGGUGCGAACACCGGGACCCGCCCUGCUGACUUCGGUGACGAGGUGACCCAGUUCCGCAGCGACCUGGAGGAGAUGCGUCCAGUGUCUCGACGUCCUGGAGGGGGGCUAUGGGGUCCUGAUCCGUGUUGCCACCUUCGCAGUGGACACCCUAGGGCCGUGCACGCUGUCCGAGCGACUCUGGAGGCUUCCCAAGCAGGUUGAGCGGGCGGUGGAGCUCAGAAUCCGCUCGGGGCCAUGCAGGCGCUCGCCGCCGCCGAGCUGCGCUCCGGUCGUGACCUUCGCCGGCUGGAGCCCUGGUUCCCAGACGGGACGACACUCCAGGAGCACGAGAGGAGCUGGCUGACUACUUCACCGGAGCUGAGGGGUUCGUCUUGCCGAGGUGGAUGUCGGCGGGCUGACCUGAGUGUGAGGAUCCCCUAGGCGCCAGUCGUUAUUUGCUUCUUUCGGAUGUAAAAAGUAACAUUUGCUGUCGGAACAAGGCCUUG